CGGCAGGCGACUCCGGGACAGCGCCGGCGGCGGGGCAGCCGGGCUCGGGGCGCCGCGGCGGGAACCCUGCGCCCGGGGCUCCCCGCUUCCCGACCUGAGAGACUGAUCUAAAGAACCAGCAUGGAGAAAUGACUUCUAUGUCCUGCAUUUCCACGGAGGCCUCUGUUCUCACAGAUUUGCAGGCUGGCCUUCAGAUGGAUACAACAUUCAGAGAAGCUCUGCCC
rnacentral:lncRNA from 1 species